UACGAAGGGGGCUAGCGUUGUUCGGAAUCACUGGGCGUAAAGCGCACGUAGGCGGAUCGUUAAGUCGAGGGUGAAAUCCCAGGGCUCAACCCUGGAACUGCCUUCGAUACUGGCGAUCUUCGAGUCCGGGAGAGGUGAGUGGAACUCCGAGUGUAGAGGUGAAAUUCGUAGAUAUUCGCAAGAACACCAGUGGCGAAGGCGGCUCACUGGCCCGUUACUGACGCUGAGGCACGAAAGCGUGGGGAGCAAACAGG
rnacentral:rRNA from 1 species